rfam:Gossypium arboreum cultivar AKA8401 contig_3398_1, whole genome shotgun sequence.
UGUUAAAAAAUUCAUCCAUUUGUACUGUUAAAAACUAGUGUGAUUGAAGAAAUAACUAGACAAUAACAUAUGACAUGCCAUGUGUAUCUCAUAUUGACAUUUAAGGCAGGGACCAAUUUUGAAUGGUAGAAAUGGAAGAAUUUUUUAAUA